CUAGAUCUACUCUUGUGUCUACAGUACUCAAGUCAAGAAAGAUUGAGCACCCCCCAAUAGAGUCUAAAACUACUUCAGAACGUGUUGGUUUUCCAGUUUAUAAAACAAUGCACAUCAAGAUUUGAGGACAACACCCAACUAAGAUGGCUGAUCCUAAACCAGAGAGG
rnacentral:sRNA from 1 species